AACGAACGCUGGCGGCAUGCCUAACACAUGCAAGUCGAACGAGACCUUCGGGUCUAGUGGCGCACGGGUGCGUAACGCGUGGGAAUCUGCCCUUGGGUUCGGAAUAACAGUUAGAAAUGACUGCUAAUACCGGAUGAUGACUUCGGUCCAAAGAUUUAUCGCCCAGGGAUGAGCCCGCGUGGGAUUAGCUAGUUGGUGAGGUAAAGGCUCACCAAGGCGACGAUCCGUAGCUGGUCUGAGAGGAUGAUCAGCCACACGGGGACUGAGACACGGCCCAGACUCCUACGGGGGGAAGCAGUUGGGAAUAUUGGACAAUGGGCGAAAGCCUGAUCCAGCCAUGCCGCGUGAGUGAUGAAGGCCUUCGGGUUGUAAAGCUCUUUAGCCGACGAAUAUAAUGACUGUAGUCGGAGAAUAAGCCCCGGCUAACUUCGUGCCAGCCGCCGCGGUAAGAC
rnacentral:rRNA from 1 species